GGUGGCUCAGUGGUAGAGUGCUUGCCUUGCAUGCAUGAGUCCCUGAGUGUGAUACCUCAGCACCA
rnacentral:tRNA from 1 species